rnacentral:rRNA from 1 species
CUCCAGACUCCUACGGGAGGCAGCAGUCGGGAAUAUUGCGCAAUGGAGGAAACUCUGACGCAGUGACGCCGCGUAUAGGAAGAAGGUUUUCGGAUUGUAAACUAUUGUCGUUAGGGAAGAUAAAAGACUGUACCUAAGGAGGAAGCCCCGGCUAACUAUGUGCCAGCAGCCGCGGUAAUACGGAGGAUGCGAGCGUUAUCCGGAUUUAUUGGGUUUAAAGGGUGCGUAGGCGGAAUAUCAAGUCAGCGGUAAAAAUUCGGGGCUCAACCCCGUCGUGCCGUUGAAACUGAUGUUCUUGAGUGGGCGAGAAGUAUGCGGAAUGCGUGGUGUAGCGGUGAAAUGCAUAGAUAUCACGCAGAACUCCGAUUGCGAAGGCAGCAUACCGGCGCCCAACUGACGCUGAAGCACGAAAGCGUGGGUAUCGAACAGGAUUAGAUACCCUGGUA